GGAAACAGAUAUGGAAUGCCAAAGUGCUCAAAGAGGAUGCGUUGUCCAUAAAGGAGAUGCUGAUGCUGCUGUGAGAAACGCCGGGGCUCCUCGAGAAUGUGCUGCUGAAAGUUGGUCUGCUGCAUAGAAAGUGCCCUCACCUCAUCCAUAAGCUGCUGAAGAGUAACCUCUUCAAAGGCAGGAGGCUCUGGAGGUGGUAGAGCAGAUGCAGAGGCAUCAAGAUCAUAUGCAGACACUGGAGGGUCCUGACACCUACACUAACCCCGAAAAGGAAGCAAA
rnacentral:lncRNA from 1 species